GCUCUUCUCUCAAAAGGAAAUACAAGUCUCCAGUGUUGCUUCGUUUUGCCAGAGUCCUUCUUGAAAUGUGGUUCAUGGAACUGAGUGUGUCUGUGAUAGCCACGUCCACACACCUUGGCAGCAAGAGUCAUUUGUAUUAGUUCAUCACCUAGGAUACUUUUUUGUAAACAACAGAAACAGACCCUGGCUAAUCCUAUGGGAAAAAAAAUAAAUUUAUUAGAUUGCAAAAUAGGUACAGGUAAAACUAAAGGUUAAUAGUUGAUGCUGGAACAUGGAAGGUUCUAAGGGUCUGGGUAUCAGGAACAAAGGAACCUAUAUUGUGCAUAUCUCCCUCUCUCCCUCUGUAUCUGUCUGUCUUGUCUAUCUGUCUAUGAACCCUGUGCUCACAACCACAAUGUUGUAGAAAGAAUCUUUCUUUUCUUCUUUCUUUCUUUUUCUUUCUUUCUUUUUCUUUCUUUCUCUCUCUCUCUUUCUUUCUUUCUUUCUCUUUCUUUCUUUCUCUCUCUCUCUCUCUUUCCUUCUUUCUUUCUUCUUUCUUUUUUUUACUUUUUGAC
rnacentral:lncRNA from 1 species